rnacentral:rRNA from 1 species
GACGAACGCUGGCGGCGUGCCUAAUACAUGCAAGUCGAACGCAGUGGGGACGGGUGAGUAACCCGUGGGUAACCUCCCAUCAGAGGGGAUAACACUUGGAAACAGGUGCUAAACCUAUACUGAUGGAUGAACCCGCGGUGCAUUAGCUAGUGGGUGAGGUAACGUCUCGCCAAGGCCACGAUGCAUAGCCAACCUGAGAGGGUGAUCGGCCACACUGGGACUGAUAAACGGCCCAGACUCCUACGAGAGGCAGCAGUAGGGAAUCUUCGGCAAUGGACGAAAGUCUGACCGGGCAACGCGGCGUGAGUGAAGAAGGUUUUCGGAGCGUAAAACUCUGUUGUUAGAGAAGCGGUAUCUAACCAGAAAGCCACGGCUAACUACGUGCCAGCAGCCGCGGUAAUUC